GGAAAAACUACAGUUCCAAUUAAAGAUAGUGUUAUUUUUUUUACUAUUUUGUUUACUAUUUUGAUCACUGAGCAGAGCUGCGCAUGUCAUAUUCCUCUAAACAAAUAGUUAUAUUUGCUAACUAUUUUACUUGUUUAAUGCAGCAGGUGGCGCAUGACCUUUAUGAAACACCAACAUCAGAGCAGUGUCGCUACAGGUAGUGAGUGUUCCAUACACUCCCCGAGGCGUCAUUUACCCAUCACAAGGAUGUCUCGUUAGAUAAAUCAACGACCUUUGGGUAAUUAGUUGCAUUAAGCUGCCUUUUUUUUUUUUUACCACAUGUGCAUGUCAGUCCCCGAGAGAUGUGCACCAAAUUUUUUAUAGCGAUUCAGCCUUACAGCGGAGAGCUGUGCGAGAAAUUUCAAGUCAAUGGAAACUUUGGGGUUUAAUACCCGCACUACCAUGUGGUUGUGUGCGUGUUUGGACACAUUUUUUUAUCCUUUUGAGUGCAGCGUUUCAGGAAUAGAAAAAGGUCCGGGUGCGGUUCACAAUAAAUAGAUGCCAGAAAUGAAAGAAGGGGGCGAAUGAAAGCGAGAGGCCAAAGGUCAAGGGUUCAAAAGUUCUUUCCAUUGUGUUUACUUUGGACUUCAGGGUCAAACCUAAAUCCACUGUAUGGGCUCUUUUAGCGCGGGGCCAUAUUUCUUGUAUGAAGUCCAAAGAAAAACAGACAAUAGUGAGUCGGUUCACACGCCGGCUGCCAUCGGGUGUUGUUGACACAAGGUGCCGUCGUUAAACCUGUCAAUAGAAGACAAAGUGUCACCUUUAUUAUUGUUAUUAUUGCACAUCUAUAAGACCGGUGCGCCACUCACAACACGCCAAAAGCGACAGAUAGAAUUCCAUAUGUGACCACACCGGUUGCCAUCGGGUGUUGUUGACACAAGGUGCCGUCGUUAAACCCGUCAAUUGAAGACAACGUGUCACCUUUUAUUAUUGUUAUUAUUGCACAUCUAUAAGACCGGUGCGCCACUCACAACACGCCAAAAGCGACAGAUAGAAUUCCAUAUGUGACCACACCGGUUGCCAUCGGGUGUUGUUGACACAAGGUGCCGUCGUUAAACCUGUCAAUAGAAGACAAAGUGUCACCUUUAUAUUGUUAUUAUUGCACAUCUAAAAGACCGGUGCGCCACUCACAACACGCCAAAAGCAACAGAUAGAAUUCCAUAUGUGCCAUCAGGUGUUGUUGACACAAGGUGCCGUCGUUAAACCCGUCAAUAAAAGACAAAGUGUCACCUUUAUUAUUGUUAUUAUUGCACAUCUAUAAAGGCCGGUGCGCCACUCACAACACGCCAAAAGCGACAGAUAGAAUUCCAUAUGUGACCACGCCGGCUGACAUCGGGUGUUGUUGACACAAGGUGCCGUCGUUAAACCCGUCAAUAGAAGACAAAGUGUCACCUUUAUUAUUGUUAUUAUUGCACAUCUAUAAAGGCCGGUGCGCCACUCACAACACGCCAAAAGCGACAGAUAGAAUUCCAUAUGUGACCACGCCGGCUGACAUCGGGUGUUGUUGACACAAGGUGCCGUCGUUAAACCCGUCAAUAGAAGACAAAGUGUCACCUUUUAUUAUUGUUAUUAUUAUUGCACAUCUAUAAAGGCCGGUGCGCCACUCACAACACGCCAAAAGCGACAGAUAGAAUUCCAUAUGUGACCACGCCGGUUGCCAUCGGGUGUUGUUGACACAAGGUGCCGUCGUUAAACCUGUCAAUAGAAGACAAAGUGUCACCUUUAUAUUGUUAUUAUUGCACAUCUAAAAGACCGGUGCGCCACUCACAACACGCCAAAAGCAACAGAUAGAAUUCCAUAUGUGCCAUCGGGUGUUGUUGACACAAGGUGCCGUCGUUAAACCCGUCAAUAAAAGACAAAGUGUCACCUUUAUUAUUGUUAUUAUUGCACAUCUAUAAAGGCCGGUGCGCCACUCACAACACGCCAAAAGCGACAGAUAGAAUUCCAUAUGUGACCACGCCGGCUGACAUCGGGUGUUGGUGACACAAGGUGCCGUCGUUAAACCCGUCAAUAGAAGACAAAGUGUCACCUUUAUUAUUGUUAUUAUUGCACAUCUAUAAGGCCGGUGCGCCACUCACAACACGCCAAAAGCCACAGAUAGAAUUCCAUAUGUGACCACGCCGGCUGCCAUCGGGUGUUGUUGACACAAGGUGCCGUCGUUAAACCCGUCAAUACAAAGUGUCACCUUUAUUAUUAUUAUAAUUGCACAUCUAUAAGACCGGUGCGCCACUCACAACACGCCAAAAGCGACAGAUAGAAUUCCGUAUGUGAUGUGUUGAUACCAGGAAGAUUAGUUUAUUUACACUUUGACUCCCAAGCCACGCCCCCGCUUGUGUUGUUUGUUGCCACGGUGACCAGCAGACUUUGUCCAGUCAGUCACUUGUUCUCCUGUCUUGUCACCCAAUACCGCCUCUAGUGGUCAGCUAUAGAGCCGCAUUUGUGCGUCCCUCCACGGACAGGAGAUUUAUUUGUCACUAGAGGUGAAAUGACAUUUUUUUUU